rnacentral:rRNA from 1 species
GAUGAACGCUGGCGGCGUGCCUAAUACAUGCAAGUCGAGCGAACAGACGAGGAGCUUGCUCCUCUGACGUUAGCGGCGGACGGGUGAGUAACACGUGGAUAACCUACCUAUAAGACUGGGAUAACUUCGGGAAACCGGAUCUAAUACCGGAUAAUAUAUUGAACCGCAUGGUUCAAUAGUGAAAGACGGUUUUGCUGUCACUUAUAGAUGGAUCCGCGCCGCAUUAGCUAGUUGGUAAGGUAACGGCUUACCAAGGCAACGAUGCGUAGCCGACCUGAGAGGGUGAUCGGCCACACUGGAACUGGGACACGGACCAGACUCCUAAGGGAGGCAGCAGUAGGGAAUCUUCCGCAAUGGGCGAAAGCCUGACGGAGCAACGCCGCGUGAGUGAUGAAGGUCUUCGGAUCGUAAAACUCUGUUAUUAGGGAAGAACAAAUGUGUAAGUAACUAUGCACGUCUUGACGGUAACUAAUCAGAAAGCAACGGCUAACUACGUG